rnacentral:rRNA from 1 species
GAGGGCAAGUCUGGUGCCAGCAGCCGCGGUAAUUCCAGCUCUCUAAGUGUAAAUCGUUAUUGUUGCGGUUAAAAAGCUCGUAGUUGGAUUUAUGGUGGAUAGUGUGCGUUCGCUCAUUCGGGCGUCAAUGCACACGCCAUCAUUUCGGCAGUCUGCGCUAUGUGCGAAAGCAUAUACGUGACUGUCAAGUUUACCUUAAAUAAAUUAAAAUGCUCAAAAUAAGCGUAUGCUUGAAUAUCAUAUUAUGGAAUAAUGAAAUAGGACUUCGGUUCUUUUUGUUGGUUAUUGAAUCGGAGUAAUGAUUAAUAGGGAUAAUCUCGGGGGCAUUCGUAUUUCUGCGGGAGAGGUGAAAUUCUAUGAUCGCAGAAGGACGCCCUAAAGCGAAAGCAUUUGCCAAGAAUGUCUUCGUUAAUCAAGAACGAAAGUCAGAGGAUCGAAGGCGAUUAGAUACCGCCCUAGUUCUGACCGUAAA